rnacentral:rRNA from 1 species
UACGUAGGGCGCAAGCGUUGUCCGGAAUUAUUGGGCGUAAAGAGCUUGUAGGCGGUUUGUCGCGUCUGCUGUGAAAUUUCGGGGCUCAACCCCGAACUUGCAGGUGGGUACGGGCAGACUAGAGUGUGGUAGGGGAGACUGGAAUUCCUGGUGUAGCGGUGAAAUGCGCAGAUAUCAGGAGGAACACCGAUGGCGAAGGCAGGUCUCUGGGCCACUACUGACGCUGAGAAGCGAAAGCAUGGGGAGCGAACAGG